rnacentral:misc_RNA from 1 species
UCUGCGUUUUGCGCAGCAGUCUCGCUAGAAAAAGCAACUAGCGACGAGGGUUGCGCUCGUUGCGGGACUUAACCCAACACCUCACGGCACGAGCUGACGACAGCCAUGCAGCACCUGUGCACAGGUCCCGAAGGAGGGCCCCAUCUCUGGGAGCUUCCCGGCAUGUCAAGGGUAGGUAAGGUUUUUCGCGUUGCAUCGAAUUAAUCCACAUAAUCCACCGCUUGUGCGGGUCCCCGACAAUUCCUUUGAGUUUCAACCUUGCGGUCGUACUCCCCAGGCGGGGUACUUCCUGCGUUAGCGCCGGCACCCAGAGGGUCGCUCCCCCAGGCACCUAGUACCCAUCGUUUACGGCGUGGACUAC